GGCAGAGGGAAGAGGGGGCCGGGGAUGUCCCCAUUGUCCCCCUUGUUUGUCCCCUUCCCUCCUGGGCGGGGGGGGGGAGGAGGAGCCCCCUGUUUUCCUCCCUCACUCAUGGACCUCCCCCGGUGGCUUUUUGUCCCCCCCAGGGGUCUUUGUGUCCCCCUCCCGGUGGCUUUGUGUCGUCCCCCCCCUCCCGGGGGUCUUUGUGUGUCCCCCCCCAAGGGGAGGGAUCCUCUUGGUUUAGAAGCGUUUGGGUUUUUUCUGUGGUUUGAGGAAAAUGGGGGACUCCCCGGGCUCUGGAGAGCGGUGGCCGUUGGGUGUCCCCAUGAUUGUCCCUGGGUGUCCCCAUUGUCCCCGUGGCUGGGUGUCCCUCAUAAUUGUCCCCAUGGCCACGUGUCCCCAUGGACAUGUGUCCCCCGUGAUUGUCCCCAUGGCCAGGCUUCCCCACCAUCAUCCCCAGGUGUCCCCACGGUCCCCGUGGCUGGGUGUCCCCAUGACUGUCCCCAGGUGUCCCCAUUGUCCCCGAGGCCGGGUGUCCCCCAUAAUUGUCCCCAUGGCCAUGUGUCCCCAUGGCCAGGUGUCCCCUGUGAUUGUCCCCAUGGCCAGGCUUCCCCACCGUCAUCCCUGUGUGUCCCUGUGGCCAGGUGUCCCCCAUGAUUGUCCCCAUGGUCCCCAUGGCCAUGUGUCCCCAUGAUAAAUCCACCUCGGGGACCCCUGAAAUCCCUCCCCAGAUACCCCCAAAUCCCCCCAAGGACCCCUGAAAUCCCCCCGGGACUCCCAAAUCCCCCCCCGAGACCCCCAGAUGCCCCUGGGGACGCCCC
rnacentral:lncRNA from 1 species